rnacentral:rRNA from 1 species
UACGAACUGUGCAAACGUUAUUCGGAAUCACUGGGCUUAAAGGGUGCGUAGGCGGUUUGUUAAGUAGGGUGUGAAAGCCCCCGGCUCAACCGGGGAAUUGCGCCCUAAACUGACGGACUAGAGUGAGAUAGGGGUGUGCGGAACUUCCGGUGGAGCGGUGAAAUGUGUUGAUAUCGGAAGGAACGCCGGUGGCGAAAGCGGCACACUGGGUCUCAACUGACGCUGAGGCACGAAAGCCAGGGGAGCAAACGGG